rnacentral:rRNA from 1 species
ACGGAGGGUGCGAGCGUUAUCCGGAAUCACUGGGUUUAAAGGGUGCGUAGGCGGUUCUAUAAGUCAGAAGUGAAAGCACUGCGCUAAACGUGGUAAUUGCUUUUGAAACUAUUGGACUAGAAUUAGGAUGAGGCUGGCGGAAUGUGGCAUGUAGCGGUGAAAUGCAUAGAUAUGCCAUAGAACACCAAUUGCGAAGGCAGCUAGCUAGACCUUAAUUGACGCUGAGGCACGAAAGCGUGGGGAGCGAACAGG